AAGGAAGAAGAAGAAGAAGAAAUAAAGGGAUAGAAAGGGAAGAAAGAAGAAGAGGAGGAAGAAUAAGAAGAGAGAGGAGAAAUAGAGGGAAAGCGAGAAGAGAAGUAAUAAGAAAUAAAAGGAAAAAAUCUCAGGGAAGAAGGACGAAGAAAUAGAGCAAAACAUGUAAUGUGACUUGAGCAUGAUAUUGCAAAACAUGGUUUGGUAUAGUAUUUUUCUAAUAAUUUUAUUGUAAUUAGCUUAGUAGUUAAAAGGCACAAGAAGGAGCAAAGUGUGUGACUAGUCUUGCCCUUGCAACCUUUCACAUAAAUUUCGGCAAGAUUCUCUCAAUUAUCUUUUAGGCUUCCUUUGAAAAAAGUCAUUUGCAAGAAAAGAAUUCAAAUAAAUUUUCAUACAAUCAUAUUACUUUUAGCAUGAUUUCUAUUUUUAAAAUAAAUUCUUUAUUUAAGUUAAAAGAAUUAAAUUCUUUCAAUUAUUAUGAUUCUAAACACGAGAAUUGACAAAAAUGAAAUUAAUUGAAUUAAAUUUUUGUAAAAAUCUAGUUUCCAAAUAGUUUGUAGAGAUUGACUUGUAUAUGUCAACACAUGCAUACACAAAGUUAUAUAUGUUAAAGGAAUGUGUACAAGAUUAAAGCUCAUUACAAAGAAAGAGGCUAAAAUUAUGUU
rnacentral:misc_RNA from 1 species